rnacentral:tRNA from 1 species
GGGGGAGCUCAGUGGUAGAGUGUGUGCUUAGCAUGCACGAGGUUCUGGGUUCAAUCCCCAGUACCUCCU